GUGAUAUAUUCAGAUGAGAGUGUAUCGGAAAGCUUGUUGUACCUUGUGGUGCCUGGACGUGUGACGUCUUGUUCGUAUUCGGUGUGUUUGAUUUCUCGAGAAAGUAGAUUUGAGAUCUCGAGAUGACCCAAGAAGAUGAAGGUUAGAGGGAGGAUUAGGGUUAGGGUUAUUUGGGCGAAGAUCUUUCGCCAUGAGUGGAUGAUCUUGAAGCUUUCUUUACAGAUGCCAAAGAGGCCCAAAAAUUGCAUUUGUUCCUGUUCUCUAUCCAUUUCUGCUAAAGAUGAAGCGGAAAUGGAAAGGGGAAAUGAUCCAUUUGGUAUAUAAAAGUGUAAAUGUAUAAGGGGGAAGAUGGGUUUUGACUUGGACUUUUCUAUGAUCAAAUUACCCUUAGAUAUUCGGUAUAAUUACAAGUUGUGCCAUUUCUACAAGUGUAGGACCAUGUCGCGGAAAUGGCAUCAUGACAACCUUUGUAAGUAACAUGGGACACGGUGGAAUACUUUGGAAAGAUUAAUCACAAAUUUCUUUAUAGACUAAACUUGCAUAAAUGGUCCCUAUGGUUAGGUUAAAAUUAUCAUUUUGGUCCAAAAAAGUUUGGACUAUCAUAAGAGGUCCAAAUCAUUUUAAAAAUUCUUCAAAUGACGUAUUUGCCAUUUUCUAUUUAUUUUUUCCUUUUCUUUUCUUUUCUUUUCUUUGGUAUUAUUUAUUUACAGCUCCUCUCUCACACACACAAGAAACCCCCGUCCAAUUACCCUACUUCGUCUGCUGCUUCUUCUUGUUCUUUAUGACUCCAAUUCAACCGGCGAAACCAUAAAGCUCUCAUUUGCAUAGGAUUCGUGCUUCGCCGAUGGAACACGUCGGUAAUCGCCCGCUUAACGCCGUCAUAGGUGUGCUUCCAUUAAACCCUAGCUUUUGUCCAAGAAAUUUCUUAACCAGUCAACGACAACAUUAAUAGCCUCUUUCCCAACGUACCUGCGUUACUUUCAAACGAAGGUUCUCCGUUGAAAUUCCUAUCGCCGAUGAUUCCUUUUCUUUUCUCCGCUAUUUCUUGAACCAUAACAAAACAGGGAGGAGGGAGAGACAUGUGUUUGUGUGACUAGGUCGAUAUUUGAGUCUUUGUGUGUGUUCAUCUUCGCCUGUUUGUUCAUCUUCAUCUGGGUUUCUUCAACAUGAUCUAUAACGAGCUUAGACACAUGUAUGAGUUCUCCAAAUCUUAGAUUUUUUAUUGUGGGUUUCUUAAAUAGAUUUCUAUAAUGUUGUUUUGGAAAUUGGGUUUUGAUUUCUGAUUUUUGGAAUGAUGGGUUUCUUCGAUUCUUAGGUUGAAGAAGGCAAACAAAAAUCGUUUGUUUUUGUUGUAAACCAUCAUUAAUGUCAUAAAUCAUGAUGGAAUUUAAAUUCCUACAACCUGAUUCAAAACUCAUGAAUAAGAAGUCAGGGUAAGUCUCGAUUUCUUGAACAGUUGAACUUGUUGAUAUUGGUGGUGGGUUUUGGGGUGGGUCACCGAAGGGGUCUGUAGGGGAUGAAUGAGUUUAUUUGUGUGUGUAUGAGAGAGAGAUUAACCAUUUGUAAGUAAAUAAUACCAAAGAAAAGAAAAGGAAAGGAAAAAAUAAAUAGAAAAUGGCAAAUCCGUCAUUUGAAGAAUUUUUAAAAUGUUUUAGACCAAACUCGCAACAAAAUAAAAAGUUUAGACCUGUGGUGCUAGUCCAAACUUUUUUGGACCAAAGUGGCAAUUUUAAGCUGCUAACCACAUGGACCAUUUGUGCAGUUUAGUCUUCUUUAUAAAAUCAUGUAAUUACGCAUAUGUAUACAAUAUUUAAUCAUUAUUCAAUAUCAUAAUUUUUAAAGACAUUUUUAUUAAGUGGCAUUUUCAUCUUUACAACUUGUUUCAUGAUGACUUGGCAUCUUAAUGUCUUAGUUAUCUAGAACGGCAUAGAUAUUCUAUGACGUUCAAAAUAAUUAUAUUGAAUUACCAGUUACAACAAAAAAAACAUAAAAAAUACAUUACUUUUAAACAGAUAUUUCCUAAUAAACCUCAAGAAGUGUCUUGAACAAAUAAAAAAUGAUAUACUAAUAUGAAAAGAAAACAAGUUUCUUUCUAUAAACCUAACAAUUCAAAUUUCUAUAAAUCUAACGAUUCAAAAUUGAUUUGGAUAAAAUCUCUGAUUAGUUAUAUAAAUCAACAAAAUUAAUAAAGUUUUCAAAAAUCAACAAAUAUAGAAAUACGUAUUUUUGAUCUCCGAAAAAGAUUUCGAAUGACCGAAAAACACCUCAAGUCAUGAUACAUUGAUGGGUUUUGUUAAUCGACUCGUUUUGCAUAAAUCAUGUAAAUUUAUCCAAUUCUAAGUCUGGAUGAUCAUUUCAUUAGAUUAGACAAUAAUUAUAUCAAUAUUCGUAUUCAUUGCUUCUAAAUUUGUACCUCCUAUAUCAUGUCUCUCGUAUUCUUCAAUUAUUUUGGAAUAAUUUUUCGAUAUGGGAAAGUAUUUAAUUGUUUAAAAUGUUUAACUAUUUCAAAAAAAAAAUGGAGUAAAAAGUUACAAUUUAUGAUGUCAGAUUUUAUGACGAACAUUAUAAAAUAUUGAUUUUAUCUUGUAAAUAGUGUUAUUAUCGUAUAUUUUUACCUAUGUUUUGCUAUAAACUAUAGAAAUAAAACAAAAAAAUAUUAAAUAAUGGCGUUAAUGAUGAAGUCGUCUUUUGGAUUGGUUCCACAAACGCCUUCUUCGCGUUGAUAGGGCCGGGACGUACACGCCAACGACGCAAAGGAAGCUUCACGUUAGACUUCCGAAAUCUAAAGUCUUUCUCCCACUAUACGUUGACUAGUCAAUGCCAAUAUUAACAUUCAUUCCCACGUUCAAAAACCAAAUCUACAUACUUAAAAUAUUAAACCAAUUGUUUCUUUUUCUUUUGAUUAUCAUCUGGAUUUUAGAUUAAGGGAUCUUUUAUAAACCACAAAUAAAAUAAAAUUUGUACAAGGAAAAUAACGAAAAUGUCAAAUAAACUACCGUACUAAAAAAAUUGAAAGAUAUGACACAUAUUUAAUUAUUUAAAUCAAUAUUAUUAAUAUCAAAAUUGAUAGAAUUUGUCAACAAAAAUUCACAAAAUGAUCAUCACCGAUAACAAAACAUGAUAUCAUAUAUGUUCUGUCGGUACCUUAUAGUUGAGUUUGAGUUAUCUCCUUAAAGAUGUUCUUUAGUUAUUAGUAGCUUCUUGUUUCAUGUAUAUAUAAGGCUUUUCCAUUUCAUUUCUCUUCACCUUGUAAUUGAGUUUGAGUUAUCUAGAGCAAUAAAGAGCUUUCCGGUGUGAAUUUCUUUCUUCCUUUCCUUGGUUUUGUGUGGUGGUUUAAGUUAGGCUGACUUAGUUUGAGGACUAAGGGUCGAACAGUGAGCAUGAAGAGUCAAGUUCGUGACAAGUGGUAUCAGAUUGAAUCAAGUAAAGGAAGGUAUUGCGGGUGAGAUGGAGAAGAAUGUUAAUGGCGAUGUUGGUGUUAUGGCGAACGAAGAAAAUCGAGGACGAGAGGAUACUCGUCAAGGUGUACGCCAUGGACGAGAUAAGUCUAAGGAUAUAUGGGGAUCCCUAGAUAAGAGUCAUGGCGAAAUUGAGACUGCUAUGGAGACGUUGUGCGAUCAAGUUGAGAAUGCACAUCGGAAAAUGGGUGCGAUGGCAUCAGAUAACGAAGUAAUGCAAGACAACGUGAAGGGAGUGAUAAAUCUACGCAAAAAAGAUGCACGACUUACAAGAGUUUCUCCUAGGCGAGGUGGCUAAAUUGUGUGAGCAAGUGCAAGGUGAUCUCUCUAUUUUGACUCAACAUGUUUUAUAACAUCAAGUUAUUGAUGUGUUUACAUAUUAUCAAUGCACAACUGACUUGUAAACUACAACUCAAAUAUCUCUGUUUCAAAAUUAUAAGAUAUUAUCGUCUCAGAAUUACUCGUGAUUAAUUCCAUGAAGUAAUUCUUUGAGCGUGAGUUAAUCCAAUACUUAAAUCUCCAUUUCAAUGUACUUAUGAACAUUGUACCAAUGCCAUUGCUAUGUCUAAAACUCCUUAGACAAUCCACAAUUCAGUUCAUGACAAUCUUAAUUCACUACUUACUUCCAAAAGUAUAAUCGACUGUGGAAUUUGAAUAAUCAUAUUAUUCGGAAAGUAAAACAUGAAAAAAUGAAACAUAAAAAUAAACAAUUGAUAAAAUCUAGUAAAAAAACUCAUACAUAAUUCUUUAUUAUUUAAUCACCAAAAGUCAAUUACAUUUACUUUUUUACAAGUUUCAAACUAACUAUCUAACUACUAAAACUAAUAUUAUCUCUCAGACCUAUGCUUUUGGCAUGUUGAAUGUGUUUAGCCCAACUCAUACCCUUCGUAAGUGGAUUUGUAGGAUUCUCUUCAGAUUAUAUUCACUUCACAGUGAGGUGGCCUUCUUCUAAUCUAUGUCUGGUGAAAUGGUACUUUCUGUCAAAAUGUCUUGAUCUUCCAUGAUCUCUUGGUUCCUUUGUCAAGGCAAUCGCCCCUUCAUUAUCACAUAAAAGUUCCAUUGACUCCUUAAUAGUUGGAAGAACUCCAAGAACUCCAAUGAAGUUCUUCAACCAAAUUGCUUCCUUUGAUGCUUCACUCGUCUCUAUGUACUAUGAUUCACAUGUAGAAUCAACCAUUGUCUCUUACUUGGAACUUUUCCAACUAACUGCUCCUCUAUUUAAAGUAAACACCCAUCCGGAUUGAGAACGGAAGUUGUCUUGAUCUGUUUGAAAACUGGUGUCACUAUACCCAGUUAUUCUCAAUGUAUCACUACCACCAAGUACUAGGACCCAUUCCUUAGUCCUUCGCAGAUGCUUGAGAAUAGUCUUAACUACUAUCCAAUGAGCUUUACCUGGAUUUCCCUGAUAACGAUUGACCAUGCUUAAAGCAAAGGACAUGUCAAGGCGAGUACAUGUCAUAGCAUACAUGAUAGAUCCAACGGUGGAAGCGUAUGGAAUCCUACUCAUUUAUGCUAUUUUUGUAUCGGUACUCGGACGCUGAGUCUUACUCAAUUUGGUAUUACUCUGGAUGGGUAGUUCUCCUUUCUUCGAAUUUUCCAUGCUAAAGCAUUUUAGCGCCUUUUCCAAAUAUGUACUUUGACUAAGUCCAAUUAAUCUUUUACUCGUGUCUCUUAGAAUUCUUAUCCCCAGAAUAUAGGCAGCCUCACCUAGGUCCUUCAUAGCGAAACACUUUCCAAGCCAAGACUUAACCUCUUGCAAAGUUGGAAUAUAGUUUCCUAUAAGAAGUAUGUCAUCAACAUACAAUACUAGGAAGGUAAAUAUACUCCCACUAGCUUUGACAUAUACACAAGACUCAAAUUCACUUCUAGAGAAACCAAACUUCUUGACUUUAUCAUCGAAACAAAGAUUCCAUCUACGAGAUGCUUGUUUCAAUCCAUAGAUUGAUUUCUCAAGCUUACACAUUCUAUUAGGAAACUUUGCAUCAAUAAAACCCUUUGGAGGACUCAUGUAAACAUCCUCAGUCAACUUCCCAUUAAGAAAAGUGGUUUUGACAUCCAUCUGCCAAAUUUCAUAAUCAUGAAAGGCAGCUAUGGCCAUCAAUAUCCUAAUAGAUUUUAUCUUAGCCACUGGUGAGAAGAUCUCAUUAUAGUUGAUCCCUAGGGUUUGAGUAAAGCCCUUUGCAACUAGUCUUGCUUUGAAUGUGUGCAUGUUACCAUCCAUGUCGGUCUUCUUCUUGAAGAUCCAUUUGCAACCAACUGUCUUCCGACCAGGUUGUUAGUCAACCAAAUUCCAAACUUGGUUGUCAUACAUGGACUUGAUCUCACUGUCCAUUGCCUCUUUCUAUUUAGUUGCCUCAGGGAAUGCCAUUUCUUCCUUGUAGUUAGCCAGUUCAUCCAAAUUUACCAGUAUACUAUCACUGAUAAACGUAUCACAAUCUGUAGUUAUAUGGAAACCAUAGAACUUGGGUGGCAUGCUAACUCUACUAGAGUAAUGAAGAGGUAAUGAACUAUCAACUGGAAUCUCUUCCUCUGGUUGAAACCUAGCAUCUUUAGAGGUUCCUUCAUCAUUUGACUCUCAAAUCUCUUCAAGGUCAAUGGUACUCCCACUGUCCUCUUUGCAUAUAAGCUCUCUCUCGCGAAAGACUCCUCUUCGUGCUAUAAAGACCAUGUUUUCACUAGGUCUGUAGAACAAAUAUUCAAAGGACUUUUGUGGGUAGCCGAUGAAAAUACAUCUCUCACUUUGCGGUUCAAGCUUGUCGUGAGUCUCUCUGUAACACCCAAAAAUUUCAAGACAAAUUUGAACUUUUAAAACACUUCAAACCAUUAAAAUCAUUACAACUUUGUUUUCAAAAUGUAUAUUAUCAGAGUUUUCCCAGAAACAUAAACAAAUCAUGAGGAACUAUACGAUCAUGCAUUCGCCUUGCCGCGAUCCCCUGAUGUACCUGAAACAAUAAAUUAAAACUGUAAACCCGAAAGUUAGUGAGUUUCCCCCAAAAUACCAAUUUCAUAUAACCAUAAUCAUAUCACAUCCACAAAAAACAAAUCAGCAUGCAUAAUGAGCCUUCAGCCUGACUGGACUGCUCCCGAGCCUUCAGUAUGACUGGACUGCCUUGCAGGGCCUACAGCCUAUCCGGACCACUCACUGGGUAUGUUGGCCUUCAGCACAAAGCAGGACCGCCUCAACCCAACCCCAAUCAAACAAACAUGUGCACAUAAAUAUCAUAUGCUAGCUCCUAUUAUAUAACAGUGAAACCAAUCUAACAGAUCACUAAUCAUAGCAACAUCCCAAUAACCGGGAUACAAACCUAACCGGUCACUAACAUAGCAUCAUCCUAUAAUCAGGACACUGACCUAACCGGGUCGCAACACAUAAGCAUAUCGCCACCCUAACUACCAGGAUGUAAUCAAUAAACAUAUCAUGCCAUAACCGAAUAUAAUCCAUAAAGGGACGACCUUGGUGCCUUAGACCCUAUUGAUAUUGUGAGGAUAACUCACCUCGCAAGUAGUGCUGAAGUACUGCAAAUCUAUGACUACUGUCUCCUCGGAAUCCCACACUAUAAACCAAAAAUAAUAAGUUAACACCCAUCAUGACCUUCUUGACUAAAUGUCCCUACCACGCUCAUAUUUUCCCAAAAUACCCUAGAAGUCUAAUAAUGUAACAUCUCAAGUUCAGGAGUAUAAGUUCAGGGGUCUAAGUGUAAAUAAAAGAGUAGACUCGACGAGUAGGUGUCUUAACUCGUCGAGUCGGAGCGGGUGAUGGGCACAUGUUAAGUGACCCGACUCGUCGAGUCGGUGGCUGGACUCGACGAGUCGGUGCUGGGAUGAGAAAACCUUAAUUGUCCGGGGUUUGGUAUCUUUAAGGGAUCNNNNNNNNNNNNCUAUUUAAGGGAUCAUUAGUCUCCUUUUUUCCCCCACGGCCUCCAGAGAGCUCAGCAAACCCUAUUUUCGCGUGAGAACAUCAUUGUGUGUGUGUGUUUGAAUAUUGGAAGGGGGAAUUGUGGAGAAAUCUUGAAGACCAAGUAGAAAAUAGCAAGGGAUUUGUGGGGAUCUGCAAGUUAGCUGCAUUUGAGGUAUCAAAUCAUGAUCUUGGCUUCUUUUUCUUCUAGAUCUCGUGAGUGGAAUUUGGGGUUUUAUGUGGUUAUGAAGCAUUGAUGGAAUAUGAGUCAGAUCUAAAGUUGAAACUUCAGAUUUGAACCUCCCUUGAGUUCUAGAUCCAUUAAGUCUCUGAAUUUUUCAUACAAGAACCCUCCCUUAUGUCCUAGACUCCAUUUCAUGCUUGGAUUGAAAUUUUGAGCCAUGCAAAUACGUAAAGGUAGCAACUUUACGUUGCUAAUGCACUCUAGGGGUUUAGAUAUACUAAUUGGAAAGAAGGUUUAGCUCAGAAUCGUUUGAUAUUGGAUUAGGCCGAAUGGACUCGGCGAGUUGGAUUAUCCAACUCGGCGAGUCGCGCUAGGGUUUUCAAGUCAUGGAUCGCGACCGAACUCAGCGAGUCUGAGAGAUGACUCGGCGAGUCUUCUGGGUUUUUCCCGAUAUUGGACACGUGGAACUCGACGAGUUGAAUGGAAAGUCGGCGAGUCAACCAGGGUUUCAUGACUCUGUGAGUUUUGGAAGAACUCGAUGGGUUGGUAUAGUGCACUCGGCGAGUCAGGUCAACAUAGACCGUUGACUUUGACUGUUGACUUUGACUUUGACCAAGAGUUGACCAAUUGGUUCAAUGGUAGUGUUCUGUGGUGGAGCUCGUGACGAUGGCCGGAGUAGCUGAUCUUAUCUCUUCAAUCGGCAACUGCAAGGUGAGUUAUCAUCACUAUAUCAACAGGGUCUAAGGCACCAAGGUCGGCCCUUUAUCGGAUUAGUAUUUGGGUAUUUGCUUGAUGUGUUUAUUGAUCUGUUAGAUUUGUAUCUUGGGAAUUAGGAUGGUCUCUGUUAGUGACCAGGGUUAGGUUGGUAUCCUGGUAGGUAGGAUGAUGUUAUGUUAGUGAUCGGUUAGGUCGGUAUCCUGGUUAGGAUGUUAUUAUGCUAUGUGAUCUGCUAGAUCGGUUUGCUUGUUUAUGGACUGUUAUGUGAUGAUCUGUGAUAUGUGUACAUGAUUGUUUAGUACGGGGGUUGGGUUGAGGCAGGUCCUGCUUCAUGCUAUAGGCCAACAUACCCAAGGCAGAACGGAUAGACUGCAGACCCGGGAGGGCACCUAGUCAGGCCAAAGGCCCAACAAGCGGUCCAGAUAGGUUGAAGGCCCUUCGAGGGCAGUCCAAACAUGCCGAGGAUCGGAGAGUGGACCAGACAGACUUUAGUCUCGGUGCAGGCGGUCCAAUCAUGCUGUAUACUCAAAGAGUGGACUAGGUGUACUGAAGGCCCGGUGCGGGCGGACCAGUCACACUGUAACUCGAUAUGCAUGGUUGUUCUGUAUUGAUGAUAUGAUAUGAUUAUGGUUAUAUGAGGUUGGUAUUUUGGGGGUAACUCACUAAGCUUUCGGGCUUACAGUUUCAGUUUAUUGUUUCAGGUUCAGCGGAUGGCCGCGGGAAGGUGAAGGCGUGAUCGUACAGCUCCUCACAUUUUGUUAUGUUUCUGGGAAUACUCUGAUAAAUAAUAUUUUGAAAACAAAGUUGUAAUGUUUUGAUGAACUAGAUAUGUUUUUGGAAGUUUAAAUUAGUUUGAAAUUUUUGGGUGUUACAAGUUGGUAUCAGAGCCUUGGUUGGAGUGAAUUGGAGGAACAUUCGUGUGAAUCCAGUCUCAAAUCAAGGAAAGGUUUUCGAUAUAAAUUUUAAAAUGGUUUUCAAAAUAAGUAAAAGAGGAUGCAAGAUGUACGAUCAGCCAGAGCCAGUAAGUUGACCCCAAAAUACCAUACAGUUACUUGAUUAUGUGAUAUGUUAGAACAACAUGCUAGUGCUAGGCUAGGGAUCUUCAGGAAUUGCAUGAUAGAAUUGCCUGAUUAUAUGAUGCCUGCUAGCCUAGGGUUCCUCUAUAUGAAAUUGACAUCAUUACUAUAGUUGCGUAGUGUAUGCAUCACGGUUGUACAUAAUUAAGAUCUUAUAACCUGAGAAUGUUUGGUUUGGCCUUAUUUCCUAUUCUUGUAUGAUGAAGGGCUUAGGGUAGGAUCAGGUAUUCGAAAGUCUAUGGGGUCCAGUGUUAUGUAUGGCUAGCAUACACUAGUGCUGCAGGGUUGGUGGAAGUUUCAUGGAUGGGUGGGUAGUGAGAGGCCAGGAGGCCAGUUAUGUGAUAUUUAGUAUUCCUCUAAGGUGAGGAUUGAGCGCUCGCUACACAUGUUAUAUUGUUAGGGUGUAGUGGUGAUACUUAAGACAAAUAUGGGUAGGUGUGAAAGGUAGUAUAGGCCUGUACUACUGAAAGCACAGGACCCAUACGCGUAGCAAGGAAGUCACAACCCCUAAGGUUUUUGGUUGGGAGUUGGUUCUCGGAUUGUUUAAGGAGUAUCUGAUGUUUUCGACAUGUUUUCAACAUGGUGGUUACACGGUGAUUCGUGACUGGAUCUGGAUCAGGAUCAAGAGAGGGCGGUCAGGAGGCACCGACAGCGCCCGAGACUAUCGGCCAGAUGAGAUGGAUGCCAAGAUCCGGAAAUCCUGCAUGAUGAGGUUGCUGCUAUGUUUUAGGCUCAGUUGACGGAGAUGUCUGGGUCUAUCAAGACCGCUAUGGUGGAGUAUUUCGUUGAUCGUUAUGCAGCCCUUACUNCCCCCCCAGCCACAACAACUGUAUCAGCGACAAUGUUGGGAUCUGGCAGAGUUUUUCAGUAUCGAGAUUUCGAUAACACGAAGCCCCCGAAAUUUGAUGGUACCCAGGAUCCGAUCGUGGCCAUGAGGUGGCUGCCUGACGUGGAGGGAUGUUUCUGUCACACCUCCAAACCAGAACGACGGAAACGUUCGGGGGCGGAGGACGUCAUGUCAAGUAUCAUAACAAUUAAAUAGUAAAGAAAGUACACACCACCAUAAUAUAAAUAUAUUUGAAAAGUUUACAUGAUUGUAUGUGUUACAUGUUUGCAAAAGAAAUCAAAUACAAUAUGGUGACCCAAAAUAUGUUACUAANAAAGAAAUCAAAUACAAUAUGGUGAUCCAAAAUAUGUUACUAACGCCAGCGCGUUAGUCUUCAAAAGUAGUUGCUACCUGGUCUAGCGGUUUCCUGAGAAUACAAGUUAUUUCAAAGAAAAAGUGUCAACAUUUAAGUUGGUGAGUUCAUAAGUGGUGUUUUGAGAAAAUGUAUGCCAUUCGAAAGUGCUUGUAUGUUUUCCAGAAAAUCCCUUAUUUUCUAUUAGAUGUAUGAAAUGAGUUUGAAAGAUUGUUGUAUGUACUAUAUGUAUUUGAACCAGGAAAAUCCCUUAUUUUCCUAAAAGUGAAAUGCAGUCUCAAAUGACCAAGACCGUAAGCUAUAAGAAACUAUGACAUGCUCAAAAGAAUGAUGUUGUAAAUCGUUAUUGUACAAAAUGAAUGUAUUUGAACCAGGAAAAUCCCUUAUUUUCCUAAAAGUGAAGUGCAGUCUUAUUGUUAAGUAAAACUAGUUGUGGAAGUGUUUUAACCUGAGUUUUGAUCAUGCCGAUAAUACCCUAGAAUAUAGUUAUUACCCCCCAAGCAUGAGUGAGUUAUGUAUUACUACGUGCAUGAGUCAUUGUUUCCGCGUGUUGUGAGUUCCUCAUAACCAUACUAGACGGAGUACCUAUGUUGAUAUUUGUCACCCCUAAUGACGAACUGUAGCUAACAGUCAGGUUGCGGAGUUGUCAGCCCCGUAUAGAUCUAUACACACUUGUCACGCUCUCCCUCCAAGAGACUCUGGUUAUAGGUGGGGACUUUUGUUUGGUACAAACAAAGCCAUAUGACACCACAUGAUUGCUAACAACGAGUUCACUAGUAAUAUGAUUAAAAAUCGUUUGUAUGAAAUGAUUUCCUUUUCUACCGUGUUACAAAGACGUGAUGAUGAGUUGAGUUUUCUUGUAAAAGCAUCAUGUUAUAGUUGAAAUGGUUACCCUUGAUAUGAUGUAGUAUGCAAACGUAUAAAUAAAACAUAUUUCUAUUUAUAAAACAUAUUGUAUCCCAAGAGGGUAAAGUUGUGUUGUGAGGUAUUUUGCAUGAUAAUAACUUCAUAAGAUAGUUAAAACAACAAUAUGAAAAGUAUAGCAAAAGAUCGAUGUUUCACACGAUUUUAGUCAUGUGUUUACUUGUAUUACCCCCCUUAAAAGUGUAUAAAAGCAUUUACAAAACAUUUGAAAACUUAGUUAUAGGGGUAUGAACUCACUUGAUUGAUUAAAGAAAGCGAGAUGAAAAUCGAGUAGAACUUCGACUCGGAAAAGUUGAUUUUCUCGGGAUUCUCAGGAAUCUAUGGAAUCUCGGGAAUCUCGGGAAUGCGAAACCUUCCUUCGGGACUUGAAGGUGAAAACCGGGGCUUUGGGAGGGUCUCGAGGGCUUAAACGCAGAGUUUCGGCACAAGAAAGAAGGGAACUGAGCAAUGAAACUCAGAGCCCUUGAAAUCUAUUUAUAGGGGCAUUUCUGGUGUGCCACAUCAUGGCUAAGGCUGGCCACGUCGUGGGGAGCAAGUCUUAUCCUCUUCCAUUGAUUGGACGCCCUCAGUCACUUGUCGGGUCGCGGCAAAACUGUGCCACGUCGUGGCAAACCUGAUAGCCUCGGAUUUCGGGCCUCGAACUUGUAAAAUCCGUAACUUUCGCAUACGAGCUCCGUUUUCGACGUUCUUUAUAUGCACGCGUAGAUAAAAAUAUGAUCUACAACUCUUGUUUAGACUUCAUCGACAAAUUUUGACUUUAUUUUUAAGUAUUUAUUUUUAACGGAUCGGGACACGAAAAGUCCGUUAAAAUUCCUUAACUUCUUCAUCUGAUGUCCGUUUUCGUCAGACUUUUCGCCGUUGCGCUAUUAUUGUUGAGACCUCCGAUUCUCAUUUAGGCUGUUUCAGUCAAAAGUCUCUCGAGCUCUAUUUUGAGUUUUUAGCUGUCUACUGCUAUACCUGGAUUUUGGAAAAAUCUUAACUUCCUCAUACGAAGUCAGAUUUGGACGUUCUUUUUGUGUACGCUCACGGUUUAAUGUUAUCUACAACUUUCAUUUAGAUACUUAAGGCUAAAAACUAUUGUAUUGAAACUUCGUGUUUUUCGUUUAAUCGGUAUUGCCGGUUUUGUCGGAAAUCUUAGAAUGGUCAUAACUUCUUCGUUAUAACUCGGAUUUUUGUGUUCUUUAUAUGUAUGAAAACCUUGUUACGAUAUCUACCACUUAGUAUAAUCAAUUACGGUUUUAUAAAAGUUUAAAUUUUGACCUGAAUUUUGCUGUUGUUAUAGUUUCUUCACAUGUUCUUGUCCCGUUGACUAGAAGGCCAGGUGUGCUCUGAACCUGCUGAGGUCCGGAGCAAAAGAUUGGUGGAGGUUGAUUACUGGAUCAUAUUCGGAUGAGCAACAUGCUGCGGUUAUUUGGGAUCGAUUUCGGGAUAUGUUUCGUACCCAUUACAUCCCGUGAGAUGAACGGGAGAGGCUAGCGCAGGAGUUCUUGGAUCUACGUCAGGAUUCAAAGUCAGUCACAGAGAUCACUCGCAUGUUUACUGAGAGGGUGAUGUUUUGCCCCGAGUUUGCUUCAGAGAAGGCUUAGAUGACCUGAUACUUGAGUAUGCUCAAGACAAAUAUUAGGCAGUUCGUGUCCACGUAGAGAUGUGAUACCUUGCUGGAGUUGCAGGAGGCCGCCAUGCGGCGUGAGCUUGAGAUUGAGUUAUAGUUGCGAGAACAGAGGUAGGCACCGGUGCAGUCGCAGCCAGCGCCAAAGCGGUCCAAGACUGUGGAUUCUAGGGUUGGAGGACAGAGCGGCCACACUUGUGAGAAGUGUGGGAAGGGUCAUACCAGAGUUUGUAAGUUCGACGAUGCGUGCCACAAGUGAGGGAAGGAGGGUCAAUAUGCAAAGGAUUGUCACCAGUUGGCCUCGGUUCAGGACAUGAGGAUUUUUUAUCAUUGCCAUCAGGUUGGUCACGUGAGGACCAACUGUCCACAGCUGGUUGCAAGACCGGUGCAGGCUACAGCGUCGGCUACAUUUAGGAUUACUAGCGGGGGUCAGGGUGGAGCAGAGCCUUCAAGGGCUCAGGGACGUGGCUUCCAGCUUACAGCAGUGGAGACCAAGACAACACCAGAUGCGGUUGUUGGUAUGUUUCUAUCUUUUAUCUUAUUGAUUAUGAUGAUAUCGUGAAUUCUCUUCCAUCCCUUUAUACAUAUGUCAUAGCAACAUAGGAGAGUUGAGGAAUUUAGGAUCGAGGGGUUAUAGACAGUUAGUAUCCAAGGGUAUUGGUGAUCGGAAGUUAGGGUCUCUGUUCCAAGGAUAGUAGUUGUAAAUCGGAGAUACAAAAGUGUUCAGAUGAGAUUUGGGUUUCUUUUGAAGAUCGGUUGCACCAUAAUGGAAAAGUUGUUUUGCGGAGGUUGUGCACUCCAGGUUUAAUCGAUCCAUGAAUAAGGAUGAUAAUACCCAAUAUGGACAGAUAAGUUGUGUUGAUUUCGCCAUCAGCAGGUGGUAGCUAAUGUCCCAAGUGGGAGAGAAUUGGAAAUUCUCGGAUGAAGUAAUAGUCAUUGAAGGUUCUGUCAGCUUCUGGAGGAUAUAUAGUACUUUUGAUAGGCAUGCGAGUUACUUAGCAUAUAUGGUAGAUGCGCGGGUCAGGUUUGGAUUGCGGUGCUUGAGUAGGUGGAAAAUCGUCAUGAGGCCUAGGCUUAGGUUGAGGUUAUAGUCCGCAGAAUGGAUUCGAAGUUUGGAACCCCAAGUGGGUGAGAACAGUUUGCUUGGGGAGGGUCACCGAGAAGGGGUGACCCAGGGUGAUGCUCAAUAGUUCAGAUCGGUCCGGAUAGACUGAAGGCCGAUAGGGCGUACCAGUCACGCCGAAGGCUCGGAGAACGGUCCAGACAGGCUGAAGGCCCCAAGAGGCGGUCCAGACCUGCUGAAGGUUCGGGGAACAGUCCAAACAGGCUGAAGGCCCAGAAAGGCGGUCCAGACAUGCUGAAGGUUUCGAGAGUGGCCCAGAUAGGCUGAAGGCCUGGGGAGGCGGACCAGUCAUGCUAAAGACUCUGUAGGUAUUUAUACAUCAGGUGUGAGAAUUGGGUAGGUUGUUAUAGUAUGAAAAAAAUGGGUUAUCCCAUGUAGUGGAUGUGAAUAUGAGUAGGGUUGAGGCGGUCCUGCUUUAUGUGGUUGGCCAAGACACCUGGUGUGGGCUGACUAAAAUUCGUAGGCACGGAGGCUCAUGGAGGGUAGUAGGGUUGAGAUGGUGGAUCAAAAAACCCUGAUGAUUUCGACCAAGGACUGAAUUGACUUAGCAUAGUGAUAAUUCCACCUGAUGAGGGGUGAUGUGGAUUAGUUAUGGGCGUCGUAUUGGUUGACCGGUAGAGGUAGGUAUGCGGUUGGUGGGAACCGUUGCGAAAUUGUAUACUAUGGAAGUGGUGGGCGAAAAGGAGCAACGGUGGAUUAUCGUCGACAUUACAUGGACAUUUUGUCCUGAUGGUCGAAUAGGUGGCGUGAUGUGCUUGACCGGGCUGAGGCGGUCCUACUCCAUGCAGUAGGCUGAGACACCCGACGUGAGUCAGAGGUAAUGUUGUUAGGGAAGGGUUUCGGCAAAACAUGAUUUGUAACUCCAUUUCAGGGAGGAACCUCAGGCUCCCAGGGCUGGGUAAAUCAGUCUAUAGUAAUGGGAAAAGAGCCAACGAAAGAGAGUAUGAUUGGCCUGUUUUCAGAAUGCGAGUUUUAUGAGAGAUCGGGUGGCAUAUGUGUAGAUUAUGGAAUCGUUCUCUCCAGAACAAAAAGAUCCUUCAAAAUCCGUCAGAUAUCGUGAUUAGGGAAGGGCCCCAGAUGUCGGACUACUAGGAAUGGUAAGGUAUGAUUUCAAGGACGAAAUCGGAUUUAAGUGGGGGAGAAUUGUAACAUCCCAAGUUCAGGAGUAUAAGUUCAGGGGUCUAAGUGUAAAUAAAAGUGUAGACUCGGUGAGUAGGUGUCUUAAGUCGUCGAGUCGGAGCGGGUGAUGGGCAUGUGUUAAGUGACCUGACUCGCCGAGUCGGGGGUUGGACUCGACGAGUCGGUGCUGGGAAGAGAAAACCCUAAUUGUCUGGGGUUUGGUACCUAUUUAAGGGAUCAUUAGUCUCCUUUUUUCCCCCACGGCCUCCAGAGAGCUCAGCAAACCCUAUUUUCGCGUGAGAACAUCAUUGUGUGUGUGUGUUUGAAUAUUGGAAGGGGGAAUUGUGGAGAAAUCUUGAAGACCAAGUAGAAAAUAGCAAGGGAUUUGUGGGGAUCUGCAAGUUAGCUGCAUUUGAGGUAUCAAAUCAUGAUCUUGGCUUCUUUUUCUUCUAGAUCUCGUGAGUGGAAUUUGGGGUUUUAUGUGGUUAUGAAGCAUUGAUGGAAUAUGAGUCAGAUCUAAAGUUGAAACUUCAGAUUUGAACCUCCCUUGAGUUCUAGAUCCAUUAAGUCUCUGAAUUUUUCAUACAAGAACCCUCCCUUAUGUCCUAGACUCCAUUUCAUGCUUGGAUUGAAGUUUUGAGCCAUGCAAAUACGUAAAGGUAGCAACUUUACGUUGCUAAUGCACUCUAGGGGUUUAGAUAUACUAAUUGGAAAGAAGGUUUAGCUCAGAAUCGUUUGAUAUUGGAUUAGGCCGAAUGGACUCGGCGAGUUGGAUUAUCCAACUCGGCGAGUCGCACUAGGGUUUUCAAGUCAUGGAUCGCGACCGAACUCAGUGAGUCUGAGAGAUGACUCGACGAGUCUUCUGGGUUUUUCCCGAUAUUGGACACGUGGAACUCGAAGAGUUGACUGGAAACUCGGCAAGUCAACCAGGGUUUCAUGACUCUGUGAGUUUUGGAAGAACUCGACGGGUCGGUAUAGUGCACUCGGCGAGUCAAGUCAACAUAGACUGUUGAGUUUGACUUUGACCAAGAGUUGACCAAUUUGACUUCGAAGGGUAUUUUGGUAAUUUUGGCACUUAUAGAAUUGGUUCAAUGGUACUGUUCUGUGGUGGAGCUCGUGACGGUAGCCGGAGUAGCUGAUCUUAUCUCUUCAAUCAGGAAUUGCAAGGUGAGUUAUCCUCACUACAUCAACAAGGUCUAAGGCACCAAGGUCGGCCCUUUAUCAGAUUAGUAUUCGGGUAUUUGCUUGAUGUGUUUAUUGAUCUGUUAGAUUUGCAUCCUGGGAAUUAGGAUGGUCUAUGUUAGAGACCUGGGUUCGGUCGGUGUUGAGGCGGGUCCUGCUUCGUGCUAUAGGCCAUCAUACCCAAGGCAGACCGUAUAGACUGCAGACCCGGGAAGGCACCUAGUUAGGCCGAAGGCCCAACGAGCGGUCUGGAUAGGCUGAAGACCCCGUGAGGGCGGUCCAGAUGUGCUGAGGCUUGGAGAGUGGAACAGACAGAAUGUAGGCCCGGUGCAGGCGAUCAAGUCAUACUGUAGAUUCAGAGAGUGGACCAGGUGGACUGAAGGCCCGGUGCGGGCGGACCUGUCACACUGUAGACUCGAUAUACAUGGCUGUUUUGUAUUGAUAAUAUGAUAUGAUUAUGGUUAUAUGAGGUUAGUAUUUUUGUAACAUCCCAAAAUACGACCCGAAAAUUUUUGUUUAAUAAUUACUAAAAACAUCAUGUCAAUAUCAUAAAAUAAACCCAUACGUCAUUAUCUCAAAAUCAUAGCAAAGUAUUACGAGAAAACUUUAUCAAGAUUGUGUCAAAUCACAUCUAUGAAAAGCUAAAACAACUCCAAGGACAAACUGAAGCUGUGGUGUGUGCAAUGCCAUCAACCCGAGCUCUUCCCUUUACUUGCAGAAGUACCUGAAACCAAAACUGAAACUGUAAGCACAAAGCUUAGUGAGCUCCCCCAAACUACCAUAUACCAUACAAUAACAUAAUAAGCACAUACUAGGCCUUGCCCACUGCAUCGGACCGAGGUCCGGACUAACCGGGGCCUUGCCCCCUGCAUCGGAUCGAUGUCCGGAAACCGACUGGGACUUUGUCCCCUGCAUCGGACUGAAGUCCAGACUAACUGGGGCCUUGCCCCCUACAUCGGACCGAAGUCUGGAAAACUAACUGGGACCUUGUCCCCUGCAUCGGACCGAAGUCCAGACUAACUGCAUCGGACCGAAGUCCUGAACUAACUGAACAAAGCACAACAUAAACAUAUCAACUGACAUGAACACACAUAUACUGCAUACUGCAUCGGGCCGUGGCCCGGAACACAUAACACAUAAAUCCUGUCUGAGCCACGAAGGCAUCAAACGAAGGCAUCAAACAUACUAACUACUACAUCGGACCGAAGUCCGGAAACUACUGCUAGCUAAACGGGCCGGCAUUGUGGCCUUAGACCCGUUCACACUGGAAGGAAACUCACCUCGUGAUGCUGACUGUUGAACUCCUGAAUGAGGAAUCCCUGACUGCUGCUCCGGCUACUUCCCAGCUAUCAUGGGAAAUAAAAUACUAAAUCAGAAUAAGGAUUCCUCUAUGGGUAAAAUGACCAUUUUACCCCUACUAUGGUGUGGGACACAAACAUGGCCCAAAUCCUUAAUUCCUUCUAAGUCCAUCUAUGGCCCCACUAUAAGCCUAUUAAUGGCCCAAUUUGCUAUUUUAGGCCUAGAACCCUGUUAUUGGGCCUUACUCAAGACCAAUACUAAAUCCUUGGUCCUUAGCAACUGAAGUCUGAUGGGCCAUAAAGGCCCAAGGACCCUAAGCCUAAAACCCAGCCCACACCAAGGCCCAACACUCAAAGCCCAAACUGGCAGCGUAUAACUAUGUUAAGCUAACAUCUCAUUAAGUGCUUAAUAAUCCGAUCCAGAGCUACAAAUCCAGAUCCUAAGCUUAUUCCAUGACUUAAGUCAUAAAGUUGCUUUCUUGAUGGCUUACAAGUCUCAUAAAGGCUCAACCUUCCACAAAUAACAUUCUACUUCCAUAAAACAGCCUAGAUCUCAUGCAUGGUUCCAUAUAAGCCACAAAGAUCGAAACUUUACUAUUAUAGGGACUCUUGAGCUUCAAGGAUAGCAAUCCCAUGCUCCAAAAACGAACUUGCAAUAUAAAGGUCCUUCCUUUGGACCUAAAAGGUCCAAACUUCCAAAAACUCCUAGAUCUAAAGUUACAAGAGGAAAGUUGGAAGCUUAUACCUCUUUUGAAUGCCAAAUGAAGGAAUGAUCCCAGAUCUAUGAGCUCAAGGUGCUCAAGUUCUUCUUCUUCCACUUUUCUUCUUCUCCUUCUUCACAAAAAUAAGCUCAAAGAUCAAACACACACAAACAAGGAGCAAAAGGGACGAACUAGGGUUUCUCUGGAGUGAAUGAUAAGUGAGAAGGCCAAAUGGGAGGCUAUAAUGGGGUUUAAAUACGCCUCAACCCCUAAAAUUAGGGUUUGCCACCUGGUCGCGUACGCUGGGCGUACCAUAAGGUACGUUGCGCGUACGCUCAACCUCCUUGCGUUUCAUUUAAUCAGUACGCCCAGCGUACAAGAGGGGUUAUGCCCCGCGUACUGCUUAUGGGCUGCUUACCCUUCGGCCCUAAAGAAGUCUACUCACAACAACAAUUCAAUUAUAGCCCAAUAAAUAAACUGAAGAAAUAAAUAACUUUAUACCUCAGAAACGAUCAUUACAAAUCUCCCCCACUUGAAUUAGACUUCGUCCUCGAAGUCUGCUGCUACUGAAUCUGAAAAUAACUCCGGGUAAUGCUCCUGCAUCUCUUCCUCUGAUUCCCAUGUCCACUCUGAACCCUUUCGGUGCUGCCACUGCACCUUCACUAGCUGAAUUACCUUGUUCCUCAAGGUCUUUGUCUUCUGGUCCAGAAUCGUGACCGGCCUCUCAAUAUAAUUUAGGCUGCUAUCAACCUGAAUGUCCUCUAAGGGAAAAACUGCUGACUCAUCCACCAAACACUUCCUCAACUGGGAAACAUGGAAAGUGUUGUGGAUCUGGCUAAGCUCUACCAGAAGAUCCAACCGAUAAGCAACCCGACCCAACUGGGCCAAAACCCAAAAAGGACCAAUGAACCUGGGGCCCAGCUUUCCCCUCUUCCGAAACCUGAUUACACCCUUCCAGGGUGAUACCUUCAGGAGGACCAUGUCGCCUUCCUGAAACUCCAAGUCUGAUCGCCUCCUGUCGGUGUAACUUUUCUGCCGACUCUGUGCAGUCUGCAGCCUACUGCAUACAUGUUGGAUCAACUUUGUCGUGUUGAGCACCACUUCAGUGCUCCCAAUGACACACUGACCGACCUCCCCCAACAAAUUGGGGUCCUACACUUCCUCCCAUAGAGCAUUUCGAAGGGAGGAUAGUCAAUACUCGCGUGGUAACUGUUGUUAUACGAAAAUUCCGCUAACGGAAGAUACGUAUCCCAACUGCCACCGAAAUCUAGGCCACAUUCCCGGAGCAUGUCCUCAAGAGUCUGAAUCGUCCUCUCGCUCUGUCCGUCCGUCUGAGGGUGGAAAGCGAUGCUGAAAUGGAGACGAGUACCCAUCUCGUCAUGAAACCGCUUCCAAAAUCUGGAAGUAAAACGGACAUCUCGGUCUGACACCACUGAAAUAGGUACCCCAUGUCGUGCCACCACCUCUCGUACAUAUAUGUCGGCUAGCUUCUCAGCCGAUAUGUUCUCCUGGAUCGGUAUAAAAUGAGCACUCUUCGUCAACCGAUCCACUAUAACCCAAAUCGCAUCCACUCCUCGUGCGGUCCUGGGAAGCUUAGUGAUGAAAUCCAUGGUGAUAUCCUCCCAUUUCCACACAGGAAUGUCUAACGGCUGGAUCUUGCCGUGAGGUCUCUAGUGCUCCGCCUUAACCUUCCUGCAGGUCAGGCAUCUUUCCACAUACCAGGCCACAUCCCGCUUCAUGCAGGGCCACCAAUAAUCGGGUCUAAGAUCUCUAUACAUCUUUGUUGCCCUGGAUGGAUGGAGAAUCGAGACUUAUGAGCCUCGUCCAUCAGCACUUUCUGUACUCUGCCCCAGUACGACACCCAGACCCUCCCAUGAAGGGUCAACAAUCCUCGACUAUCAUAGUCAAAGGAAGCUACUCGGCCCAUGAUCCUCUCAUACUUCUACCUCUCCUCCUUGAGGCCCUCGGCCUGCGCCUCUUUAAUUUGCUCCAGCAAUGGAGUAAUCACUGUCCUCCUCAAACAAAUGUCUCUGAUCAGGACUGCUGCUGCCUUGCGGCUCAGGGCGUCGGCCACUACGUUGCCCUUCCCUGGGUGAUAAAGGAUCUCACAGUCGUAAUCCUUCAGCACAUCUAACCAUCGCCUCUGCCUCAUGUUCAGAUUCGGCUGGUCCAUGAGGGACCCCAAGCUCUUGUGAUCCGUGUAAAUGACAACGGACCNCAACGGACCUCGUAGAGGUAAUGUCUCCAAAUCUUGAGGGCAAACACCACUGCCCCCAACUCUAAAUCAUGCAUAGGAUAAUUAGCCUCGUGAGGCUUCAACUGUCUCGAUGCGUAAGCUAUCACACGGCCUCGCUGCAUCAACACUGCUCCCAUACCUGCGAUCGAAGCAUCAUAGUAGACUACUAAAUCCUCUAUUCCCUUUGGCAGGGUAAGAAUCGGUGCCUCGCACAAUUUCCGCCUGAGGGUCUCGAAUGCUGCCUGCUACUCAGGCCCCCAACGAAACACCACUGACUUCUUAGUCAGUCGGGUGAGCGGUACAGCUAUCUUGGAGAAAUCCUGGAUGAAUCUCCUGUAGUACCCCGCUAAACCUAGGAAGCUCCUAAUCUCAGAUGGAGAUUUCGGGACUUCCCACUGCAUCACGGCCUCUAUCUUAGCCGGAUCUACCAAAAUACCCUUCUGGUUGACGAGAUGUCAAAGGAACUGCACCUCGCGCAACCAUAACUUGCACUUGGAGAACUUUGCGAAAAGUCUCUCCCUCCUCAAAAUCUCUAGCACCUCUCUCAGGUGCUCCUCAUGCUGCUCCUGAGGCUUGGAAUACACCAAGAUAUCAUCAUUGAAUACUAUCACAGAUCGAUCCAGGAUCGGCCUGCACACGCAGUUUAUGAGAUCCAUGAACGCGGCUGGAGCGUUGGUGAGCCCAAAUGGAAUCACCACGAACUCAUAAUGACCAUACCGGGUCCUGAAAGCAAUCUUCAUCACAUCCUCGCCUCUGACUCGCAUCUGAUGAUACCCGGAGCGUAAAUCGAUCUUGGAAAACCAAGAUGCUCCCUGCAGCUGAUCAAACAAAUCAUCUAUCCUCGGAAGUGGGUAAUGGUUCUUCACCGUUACCUUAUUCAGCUCCUGGUAAUCUAUACACAUACGGUGCGACCCGUCCUUUUUCUUCACAAACAAAAUCGGUGCACCCCAAGGCGAACUGCUCGGCCUGAUAAAACCCUUACCUAGCAGCUCUUGCAGCUGCGUAGAUAACUCCUGCAUCUCUAGGGGAGCCAACCGAUACGGUGCUUUGGCUAUCGGAGCCGCACCAGGGAUCAGGUCAAUCCUAAACUCGACCUGCCUCUUGGGAGGUAUUCUAGGCAAUUCCUCUGGAAAUACAUCCGGGUAGUCUCGCACUACCGUAACAUCAUUAACUGUCGCCUUGCCCUUCUCCCAUGCAUCUAAAACAUAGGCAACAUAACCGAUGCAACCCUGCUGAAAAUAGCGCCUCGCUCUCGCCCUGAAUCACUAACUCUCCCCCACUGGGAGAGCGAACCCUCACUAACUGCAACUCACAAUCUAUCACCGCCCCCAUUGGGGCUCAGCCAAUCCAUGCCUACUAUAACCUUAUUCCCUUGCAGGGGAAUAGGGACCAAGUCCACCGGAAAGUGCUCAUCGAAUAACUAUAGAGAACAUCCUUUGUGUACCCUUGCAACCCUAACGGUCCUAUUAGCUGCUAUCUCAACCUCAAGUGGACAAUCUAGCUCCCCUGGAGCUCUGCUAAACCUCUUGCUAAGCGCAAGAGAGACGAAUGAUCGAGUAGCCCCCGAAUCAAAAAAUAUUGUAGCUGAUAUGUCGUUCACUGAGAACGACCCUAUACAAAACAUAUAACCAUAAGAAACAAUCAAUAAUAAAUGCAGAGGUACGGAGAAAAAUACAUACCCGUCACCACGUCAGGAGUCGCUCGCGCCUCCUCUGCUAUCAGAUGAAAAGCCCUACUCUUUGCCACUGGCGUCUCAGCUCGGCCCUGACGGCCACCUGUAAUCCUUAAAGUAGCAGGAGAAGGUGCUGACACCUUCCCUGCAACAGCUAAACUCGGACACUGGGACUUUUUAUGUCCCCUCUGAUUGCAAUGGAAGCAAAUCAGCUCUGAUGCCGCAACGGUGGUAGUAGUGGCUGUACAAUCUCUGCUCAUAUGCCCAGUCCGACCGCACUUGUAGCAGCCUGCAGUCCUUGCCUUGCACGCCCCAUCGUGCAAUCUCCCACACUUGCUACACCGAGCAUGGCUCUGCUGACUCCUAGCUCUGUGAUAUGAACACUUGGGCUUUUUGCCCGCACUACCUAUACCUGGAGCUGCCUCCGGCUUCCUCUUUCUCUCCAUCUCAAGGUCAAUCUCACUCUCUCAAGCCCUAGCAAUCAUGUCAUCCAGCGUUUUACAGAUGGAUCGGCUCACAAACUGGCGGAUAUCACUCCGCAGCAUCUCAUGAUAACGAGCCUUCUUCAUUUCCUCAUCAGCCGCGUACUGAGGAACAAGAAGAGCCCUCACCCUGAACUUGGCGGUAAUCUCUGCCACUGUCUCUGUGGUCUGGGUAAGAUCCUGAAACUCUCUGGCUAACUGCUGCACCUCAAUGACCAGUGUGAACUCAGCUCUGAACCUGGUAGUAAAAUCAGUCCAGGUCAUAGCAUCCAAAGCUGCGUCAUCUCCAAUGGCAUGACCAACCUCCUCCUACCAAUUUUGUGCCCUGUCCUUCAGAAGACAGGACGCCAAUCUGACCUUGUCCCCCUCGGGACAUCUGCUAGUGCGGAAAGCAUUGUCCACAUCUGCCGACCAUCUAGAACUCGCUAUGGAAUCCCGCGCCCCGUGAUAAUCCGGAGCUCCGCAUGCUCGGAACUCCCUAAAAGUAAGUGUGCGCGACCCCAUCAUGGCCGCCACCUCAGCACGAAAGGUGCUCAACCUCUCGUCCAUCAACUCUAAGAUACCCUCCUUGAUCGAACCGAAGAUCACAGGAGUCUGCUCAAGUAUGGUGCGAGUAAUCUCUGAAGAGAGAAACUCCCUAGUCUGCUCAUCCAACUGCCCGGCCUCCGGGCCUGGUCCUGAUCCCCCUCCGGCACCUGAACUGCCGACUGCUGGUCUAGGGCGUAAUACCACCAUUCUGAAGCACAUAAUAAAACGUCAGGAACACUGAUAUAUCUCGAGGAAUCACUACUACCACAAGUUUCCUGGUCUCAUCUCAUCUUUCCUCGAUUCGAGUACGGAUCCUCUGCUUCCAGUAGUAUGGGUCCCUACUACCUUCCACAUCUAUCCGUACCUUCCUCAAGAACUGCCUCGACUCCACCAAGUCACUACCACUGCUACUGAUCUCUGCUAUUCUCAUCCUAGGCUUGCCCUAGUGAAAUCUCUGACUCUACCCGAUCCAGUCCUCAGCUGCUGAAAGCCUCCUUGUGAUGCCAAUUAGCCAUCAACUGAAUACCAUCACAUGCGGCGAGGCUCAGAUAAUCCUUCGAGUAAAAGACUCGUCCCUACAACGGUGAGAAUCAAACAAGAGUUGCGCAAUAGGGCCAAAUCUAGCACUAUGAGAUUAUUCAACCCUAUUCACAUGUGACGUGACGUAUUCACCUAAUGGAUAACUCCCAUCACUCAGAGUCCCACAAAGCACAAAGCAAGCAACAUUCAGACACAUAAAAACUACUCAAGCAACUCUAUCCUCAUAACAAGGACCUAUACUAGCAUACAANUCAAUGCUAAGCUCAUACUAUCAGGCAUAACCUAAACAGGCUAUCGUUCUGCUGUAUACUCGAAACUAGCAUGCAAUUUCUCAUAAAGCUGAAACACAUAUAGCAGGGACAUAAUGAUGGGUUUUAGCCAUAAGAACUUUCCUAUGUGCGCAUGCAAACCCUAAUGCUCGGAUCUAGGCUUUCUAAUAAACAUGCUUUGAAUCCAAGACUUCUAAUGACUAAUUAGGUUAAAUAACAACAUUGAAACAGAUCUAGAAUCAUACCUUUGAGUUCCUUGUUGAUCUUGAGGUCUUGGAGCUUCUAGAGUCACAAAUGUCACUCCUCUAAUGGCUUACAAACACCAAUAGCAAGGAAGAUGAUUUAGGAGAGAGGAGAGGGGAGGAAAUCGGCCAGGGUUCUCUUGCUUUAGGAGAGGUGCCGAUUUCCUUAUGCCAUGGGGUCUAUUUAUACUUGUAGACUCCUUAAGGGUUACAACCUAAACCCUAAUUAGAUAAUCUUCUCUUAAGGCUAUCCAAAUCCUUUCCAUAGAUAAGCCUUGGGCGAAUUUAGCUAUCCUUUAGCUUCUAGAAUUCGUCCCUUGUAUAUCUAUAAGGAUUUACAGUCUAAAGCUUAACUAUCAAACAAUUGACAGUUUAUACCCCUUUAUUUAAUUAAUCUCUUUAAGUCACCAAAUUAAUUCUAAUUAAUUCUAUGACUUAUAUUAAUCAAAUAACAAAUAUAUUAUUCAUUAUAUUAUUCUCAUAAUAUAUUAAUAAUAUUUACUCUCUCGUAAUAAAUCAUCCUAUCAAGUUGCUAUGGUGAAGGCAACCCAAAAGGACCAUGCACAACCGGGUCAAAUACUUGCCUAAUAUAGUUGCAGCCUUAGACACUAUUCCAACAGUCUCCCACUUGGAUAAGUCUAGUAACUAUAUGCACAAGUACAAUUCGGUUUGCAAUCGUAGCUCUCAAAGACGCUGUCAAACUCUGAUCUAAUCAAUCUUGUCCUUUAGAUAAGGGAUCGUACAGUCCUCUGUUAGAUAUCAUGCUGACAAUCCUAUGGAAUGGUUAGUCAAGCAUUUAGGUUUCUCGAUCUCUGAUUUAUUUGACAUAGAACUUAAUCGAACACAUCAAUUCAGUUCUGACCGGGCCCGGCACAUAAGUCAAAUCAAAUCAUCGAGCGGCCGAGAUAUCGCUUUUACCUUCUUAGAUAAAAGUUACAGAUAAACUUCGACUUAUAUGCAUUUACUUAUUCAUUAACCAACUAUACACAACAAUACGUUUUAUAACACCAAGUUACUGAUGCGUUUUCGUAUUAUCAAUGUACAAUCAAUUAACAAAUAAUAAACCAUAUAUCUAGGUUUUAAGACUAUAUGAUAUUAUCGUCUUGCGAUCACCUUUUAUAUCGUAUUCCAUAAGGUGAUUCCAGCAAGCGCGGGUUUAUUCCAAUGCUCAAAACUAGUUCAUAAGCACUCAUGAACGUUGCAGCAAUCCUUUGCUAUGUCUAACACCAUUUAGACAUUCUACACACCAAUUCAUGACAAUCUUCAUUCAUAUCUACUUCCAACAUAUGAACGAUUGUGGACAAUUUGAACAAUUCGAUUAUUCCUAAUAAACUCAAUUAUUCUGGAAGUCAAAACAUGCAAAGUGAAACAAUAGCUAAACAAUUAACAUAAGAUAGUAACAUUACUCAUAAAUAAAACUCCUUUAUUUAAUCAUCAAAUGUCAAUUACAUUUAUCUAUUACACGUUUCUAAUACUAUCUAAUCUAUGCUAAUAUCAUCCUUCAGCCCAAUACUCCUAGCAUGCUGCAAGUGCUUAACCCUACUCAGUCCCUUCGUAAGCGGAUCUGCUGGGUUAUCUUCUGAUGAUAUCCUCUUCACUACGAGUUGUCCUUCUUCUACACGAUGUCUAAUGAAGUGAUACUUUCUGUCGAUAUGUCUUGAUCUACCAUGAUCCCUCGGUUCCUUGGUCAAGGCAACCGCGCCUUCGUUAUCACAGAAAAUCUCCAUUGGCUCCUUUAUGGCAGGUACAACUCCAAGAUCACCGAUGAAGUUCUUUAGCCAUAUUGCCUCCUUCGACGCUUCGCUCGCUGCAAUGUACUCUGAUUCGCACGUUGAAUCAGCUACGGUUUCCUGCUUGGAACUCUUCCAUGUCACUGCUCCUCCAUUUAGGGUAAAGACCCAGCCCGACUGCGAACGGUAGUUGUCCCUGUCGGUCUGAAAACUGGCGUCACUAUACCCUCGCACCUUCAAGUCAUCACUCCCUCCGAGGACUAAGAACCAUUCCUUCGUCCUCCGAAGGUACUUAAGGAUAUUCUUCACCGCAAUCCAAUGUGCUUUGCCAGGAUUCCCUUGAUAUCUGCUAACCAUGCUCAAAGCGAAGGCUACAUCAGGGCGAGUACAAGUCAUAGCGUACAUGAUUGAGCCAACUGCGGAAGCGUAUGGUACUCGGCUCAUUUCUGCUAUCUCAGCUUCGGUACUCGGACUUUGAGUCUUACUCAAUUUGGCAUUACUUUGUAUCGGUAGUUCUCCCUUCUUUGAGUUUUCCAUACUAAAACGUUUUAGUACCUUCUCUAAGUAAGUAUUCUGACUAAGUCCAAUUAGUCUCUUACUUCUUUCUCUUACUAUCCUUAUUCCCAAAAUGUAAGAAGCCUCUCCGAGGUCCUUCAUAGCGAAGCACUUCCCGAGCCAGGACUUAACCUCCUGCAGAGUCGGGAUGUCGUUUCCUAUGAGUAAUAUGUCAUCGACAUAUAGAACGAGGAAGCUUACUAUACUCCCACUGGCUUUGACAUAUACACAAGAUUCGUCUUCGCUUCGUACAAAUCCAAACUCUUUGACUUUCUCAUCGAAGCAAAGAUUCCAUCUGCGAGACGCUUGCUUAAGUCCAUAAAUGGACUUCUCAAGCUUACACACUCUAUUCGGAUGCUUCGGAUCCACAAACCCCUCUGGCUGAGCCAUGUAAACAUCCUCAGCCAACUUUCCGUUAAGGAAAGCGGUCUUGACAUCCAUUUGCCAAAUCUCAUAAUCAUGAAAUGCGGCAAUUGCUAGCAUCACUCUAAUAGAUUUAAUCUUCGCAACUGGUGAGAAGGUCUCAUCAUAGUCAACUCCGGGAGUUUGAGUAAAGCCCUUCGCAACCAAUCGCGCUUUAUAUGUGUGUACGUUUCCAUCCACGUCGGUCUUCUUCUUGAAGAUCCAUUUGCACCCAACGGUCUUACGUCCGGGCACAUAAUCAACCAAAUUCCAAACUUGGUUAUCAUACAUGGAUUGGAUCUCGCUAUCCAUUGCCUCUUUCCAUUUUGCAGACUCCGGGCCUGCCAUGGCUUCCUUAUAGCUAUUAGGUUCAUCAAGAUUUAUUAGUGUACCAUCACUAAUAUACGUGUCCCCUUCGGUAGUAAUAUGAAAACCAUAAAACUGGGGUUGAACUCUAACUCUAUCGGAACGUCUAAGAGGUAAGGAUUCGUCAAUCGGUUCAACCGGAGUUUCCUCCUCGGGUUGAGUGCCAGCGGUAGAGGUUCCUUCAUCUAUCGACUCUUGAAUCUCUUCAAGCUCGAUUUGCCUCCCACUGUCUCCUUGGCUUAUGAGUUCUCGCUCUCGGAAAACUCCUCUCCUCGCAACGAAGACAACAUUGUCCUUCGGUCUAUAGAAGAGAUAUCCAAAGGAUGUCUGCGGGUAGCCGAUGAAAAUACAUCGCUCACUUCGAGGUUCAAGCUUGUCGUGAGUAUCUCGUCUUACGAAAGCCUCGCAACCCCAAACCUUGAUAUGUGCCAACGAGGGAGCUUUCCCUGUCCACAUCUCGUGAGGUGUUUUGGCAACCUUCUUAGUAGGGACUCGGUUAAGGAUAUGGGCGGCAGUCUCUAAGGCAUACCCCCAAAAAGAGAUAGGUAGUGAAGCACGACUCAUCAUAGAGCGAACCAUAUCCAAUAAGGUUCGAUUACGCCUUUCUGCCACACCAUUCAACUGCGGUGUCCUAGGAGGCGUCAAUUGCGAAACUAUUCCACACUCCUUGAGAUAAUCGUGGAAUUCAAGACUUAGGUACUCUCCUCCUCGAUCGGAUCGAAGCAUCUUGAUUUUCCUGCCCAAUUGAUUCUCCACUUCAUUCUUGAACUCUUUGAACUUUUCAAAGGUGUCUGACUUUUGCUUGAUUAAGUAGAUAUACCCAUAUCUACUAUAGUCAUCGGUAAAAGUCACAUAGAAGCGGUUCCCAUCCUUCGUGGUUGAUCUAAACGGUCCACAUACAUCGGUAUGUAUUAGGUCCAAUAGACCCUCGCCCCUUUCACAUGUACUCGUGAAGGGUGACUUAGUCAUCUUUCCAAGCAAACAAGACUCGCAUGUGUCAUCUUCCCUAAGGUCGAAUGACUCCAACACUCCAUCCUUUUGGAGUUGGGCUAUGCGUUUCUUGUUGACAUGUCCAAGACGACAAUGCCACAAGGAUGCUUUAUCCAUACUAGUGGAAGAAUCAAUAUUCAAAACAUCAUUUCCUAAGUUAUCAACAAUCAUAACGGUUUCAUAUAUUCCAUUACAUGGUAUAGCUUCAAAGUAAAAGACACCAUUUAGAUAAGCCAAAAUAGAACCAUUCUCAUUAUUAAAAGAAAAUCUAAAUCCUUGUCUAUAUAAACCAUGAAAUGAAAUGAUGUUUCUUGCCAUUUCUGGCGAAUAGCAACAAUUGUUCAAAUCUAAAACUAAACUAUUCCUAAGCACUAAGGAAUACACUCCAAUCUUGGUCACAGGCGACGAUCUUCUGUUCCCCAUGAUUAGAUUGAUCCUUCCUUGCUCCACAUCCCUACUUCUUCUUAGUCCCUGCACAUUAGAACAAAUGUGAUAACCACAACCGGUAUCAAGAACCCAAGAAAUAGCAUGAUUAGAAUCGUUAGAUUUGAUUGUAUAUAUACCUGCGAAAGAUGGCUUGAUCUUUCCUUCUUUGAUUGCUUGCAGGUAAUCCGGGCAGCUUCUCUUCCAAUGUCCUAUCUUGUGGCAGUGGUGGCACUCUGCCUCCUUCGGGUUAGAGCAGGGCUUGGCGGGAUCAACUUUGGUCCCACUAGAAGAGGCACCAUCUCGGGCUUUCACCUUGCGAUAGUUCUUCGAUGAAGCUUUCCUCUUCUUUCCCUUCCCUUGUCCAAUAGCCAAGACAGGAGCAGCGGGCGGAUUGGGAGUAGGUGCAACAGACUUGUCUUUGAAGUUGCUCUCAGCAACCCUCAAGAGACCUUGGAGCUUGCUUAGGGUGACCUCUUCUUUGUUCAUGUGGUAGGUCAUCCUAAAUUGGUUGUACAUCGGAGGCAAAGAGUGAAGCACCAUGUCGAUCGCCAAGUCUUCACCGAAGUCAACAUUUAACUUGCGAAGGCGGUCAACAUACCUUUGCAUCUUUUGCAAGUGCACGGUAAGAGAUUCUCCAUGACCCAUCUUCGCGGAAAUCAUGUUAGUGAAAAUCUCGUACCUCUCUUGUCUCGCGUUUUGGUGGUACCUCUCCAAUAAGUCUUGAUGCAUCUCGUACGGGUACAUGUCCUCGUAGGACUUUUGGAAUUCGGAGUUCAUGGUGGCGAUCAUGAUGCAAUGUACCUUCGUUGCAUCUCGCUCAUGAGUUUCAAAGGCGGUGAUUUCGGCGGGAGUAGCAAUUUCGGGGUUGAUUUUCUCGAGCUUCUCAUCGAGGACAUACUCCUUAUCCUCAUAGCGAGCAAUGGUGCGAAUGUAUCUUAUCCAUUCGCUAAAGUUCGUUCCAUCGAAGGUGACCUUUUGGCAAAGGCUCAUCAACGUGAAAGAACUAGCAGCAGCGUUGUUUGCGUUCGACAUCUACAAUUAGAAAAGGACAAAGAUAGAUUAGAAUAAGAAUCCCUAAUUAUCACCCAAUAAGAAAAUUAGGGCUAGGAUCCAACAAUAACAUUUACAUACUAGAAAAGGGAUGCCGUAAUCUAACAUGCAAAUAAAUUGAAGGUAAGUGAAUGACGAUUCACUAAUUCUCCAUCACAAAACUUAAACUAUUAGUCCUAAGUGUUUUUGAGAAUUCCUAGGUUCGGAUGAGAUUCAUUGAAACUAUUCAAUGGCAUGUUUAAAUCUCGAUAUGCCCCUCUUGUUUGUGACUGGGAUGCCGAGGAUCACAAAGCGGGUGUGAAUUACCAUGCAAAUUCACAUGGUGCCUUCAUUGUAACGAUCACCUAUUCGAUGUGCCGGUAAACCACACACGCUCCAUCGAACUAUGAUAAACAAUGAAUCACCCUUUGCCACCUUCGCUUAGAACCAAUUAGUGUGCCGGUAAACCACACACGCUCCACUAACAUCUUAGCAAGGUGCAAAGUGUAAUUUCAUGGGAUUGCAUCAAUUCACUUUUCCUAAAGUAACUAGGAUUGGGAAAUUUUAAAAAAAUAUGUAGUUACUUUAUAUUUCUUAUUAUACUUUUAAUGAGAGGAUGAGGUUGCCCUAUCCUACCCGUUCGGCUAACGACCCUCCACCAAUCAAGCAAGCGGUGGGUGUGAGUGUACACCCAUUAAGCGCCAUUUUAUAGGCCGCAACCUUAUACCCACCUUAUAGAUCGGCUUCGUGAAUGAGGCCUACUAACGGUAAGACUAGCAUUUAGUUAUACAUAUAUAUAUUAUUCUAGUAAUAUCAUAUUAGUAUAGGGUUGUAUUUUAAAACUUUUAAAAUCUAGGGUUUGAAAUUUAAGUUGUCUAAAUUAAAACUUUUAAUCACAAAAGUAAAUUUCAAAACAUGAGGGUAGGUUUUAAACAUUUAAAACAUGGAGGAUCAAAUAACAAAUAAUUCCAAUUAACAAUUAAUAUCCUAAUUAUCUAUAUUUGAUUUAUUCAAGAUUUCUUUUAAAGAUAAUUACCAAAAUAAUCAAAAUAAUUAAUUAAUUAUCAUAUAAGGAAAUUAAAUAUUUAAUUAGUUGAUAAUUACCUUUAACUAGAUCAAGAUAAUAGUUAUAUUUAUCAGAAAAACGAAUUAAUGUUGAUCUAAUUAGUUUAUGGUAAGUUAAGAUAAGAUAAACACAAAGAAAUCCCGAAUCUGGCCAUUCCUGACGCCUGGACUCGCCGAGUGCACAAAUGGACUCGCCGAGUCAGGCCUACUCGCCGAGUCCACUUUGAGACUCGCCGAGUCCAUGACUCAGAAACCAAAAAUUCGAAUUUUGCAGGUUUGUUUCAGUUAAUCAAGCAACAAUUUACAGAAAACCAAGCUAGGCUCUGAUACCACUGAUGGGUUUUAGCCAUAAGAACUUUCCUAUGUGCGCAUGCAAAACCCUAAUGCUUGGAUCUAGGCUUUCUAAUAAACAUGCUUUGAAUCCAAGACUUCUAAUGACUAAUUAGGUUAAAUAACAACAUUGAAACAGAUCUAGAAUCAUACCUUUGAGUUCCUUGUUGAUCUUAAGGUCUUGGAGCUUCUAGAGUCACAAAUGUCAAUCCUCUAAUGGCUUACAAACACCAAUAGCAAGAAGAAUGAUUUAGGAGAGAGGAGAGGGGAGGAAUUCGGCCAGGGUUCUCUUACUUUAUGAGAUGUGUCGAAUUCCCUAUGCCAUGGGGUCUAUUUAUACUUGUAGACUCCUUAAGGGUUACAACCUAAACCCUAAUUGGAUAAUCUUCUCUUAAGGCUAUCCAAAUCCAUUCCAUAGAUAAGCCUUUGGACGAUUUUGGCUAUCCUAACACUCUUAGAAUUCGUCCAAAGCAUAUCCCAAUGGAUUUACAGUCUAAAGCUUAACUAUCAAACAAUUGACAGUUUAUACCCCUUUAUUUAAUUAAUCUCUUUAAGUCACCAAAUUAAUUCUAAUUAAUUCUAUGACUUAUAUUAAUCAAAUAACAAAUAUAUUAUUCAUUAUAUUAUUCUCAUAAUAUAUUAAUAAUAUUUACUCUCUCUUAAUAAAUCAUCCUAUCAAGUUGCUAUGGUGAAGGCAACCCAAAAGGACCAUGCACAACCGGGUCAAAUGCUUGCCUAAUAUAGUUGCAGCCUUAGACACUAUUCCAACACAUAAGGCAUCCUCCUAGAUCCGUAGUCCUAUUCUAGCAUGUUGUACUACUGAAACUAAAAUAGAUAAUCAUACAAUAAUUUGUAUGGUAAUUUGGGAGUACUUACUUGAGCUCGGCUGAUCGCAUGCACCACACCCUUUUUCCUUUAUAAAAACUCUUCUUUUUUCUAAGUUCUUUUUCAAAAAAAAACAUUUUUCUUUUGAAAAUCUUUACCGUUUCCUUAGUUUGAGUUCAGACACACCCGGAAGUGUAUCUGAAUCCCUCAAACCAAGGCUCUGAUACCAACUUGUAACAUCCCAAAAUAUGACCCGGAAAUUUUUGUUUAAUAAUUACUAAAAACAUCAUGUCAAUAUCAUAAAAUAAACCCAUACGUCAUUAUCUCAAAAUCAUAGCAAAGUAUCACGAGAAAACUGUAUCAAGAUUGUGUCAAAUCACAUCUAUGAAAAGCUAAAACAACUCCCAGGACAAACUGAAGUUGUGGUGUGUGUGAUGCCAUCAACCCGAGCUCUUCCCUUUACUUGCGGAAGUACCUGAAACCAAAACUAAAACUGUAAGCACAAAGCUUAGUGAGCUCCCCCCAAACUACCACAUACCAUACAAUAACAUAAUAAGCACAUAUUGGGCCUUGGCCCCUGCAUCGGACCGAGGUCCGGACUAACCGGGGCCUUGCCCCCUGCAUCGGACCGAAGUCUGGAAACUGACUGCGACCUUGUCCCCUACAUCAGACUGAAGUCCAGACUAACUGGGGCCUUGCCCCCUACAUCGGACCGAAGUCUGGAAAACUAACUGGGACCUUGUCCCCUGCAUCGGACCGAAGUCCGGAACUAACUGAACAAAGCAUAACAUAAACAUAUCAACUAACAUGAACACACAUAUACUGCAUACUGCAUCGGGACGUGGCCCGGAACACAUAACACAUAAAUCCUGUCCGAGCCACGAAGGCAUCAAACAUACUAACUACUGCAUCGGACCGAAGUCCGGAAACUACUGCUAGCUAAACGGGCCGACAUUGUGGCUUUAGACCCGUUCCUACUGGAAGGAAACUCACCUCGUGAUGCUGACUGCUGAACUCCUGAAUGAGGAAUCCCUGACUGCUACUCCGGCUACUUCCCAACUAUCAUGGGAAAUAAAAUACUAAAUCAGAAUAGGGAUUCCUCUAUGGGUAAAAUGACCAUUUUACCCCUACUAUGGUGUGGGACACAAACAUGGCCCAAAUCCUUAAUUCCUUCUAAGUCCAUCUAUGGCCCCACUAUAGGCCUAUUAAUGGCCCAAUUUGCUAUUUUAGGCCUAGAACCCUGUUAUUGGGCCUUACUCAAGACCAAUACUAAAUCCUUGGUCCUUAGCAACUGAAGUCUGAUGGGCCAUAAAGGCCCAAGGACCCUAAGCCUAAAACCCAGCCCACACCAAGGCCCAACACUCAAAGCCCAAACUGGCAGCGUAUAACUAUGUUAAGCUAACAUCUCAUUAAGUGCUUAAUAAUCCGAUCCAGAGCUACAAAUCCAGAUCCUAAGCUUAUUCCAUGACUUAAGUCAUAAAGUUGCUUACUUGAUGGCUUACAAGUCUCAUAAAGGCUCAAACUUCCACAGAUAACAUUCUACUUCCAUAAAACUAACUAGAUCUCAUGCAUGGUUCCAUAUAAGCCACAAAGAUCGAAACUUUACUGCUAUGGGGACUCUUGAGCUUCAAGGAUAGCAAUCCCAUACUCCAAAAACGAAGUUACAAUAUAAAGGUCCUUCCUUUGGACCUAAAAGGUCCAAACUUCCAAAAACUCCUAGAUCUAAACUUACAAGAGGAAAGUUGGAAGCUUUAUACCUCUUUUGAAUGCCAAAUGAAGGAAUGAUCCCAGAUUUAUGAGCUCAAGGUGCUCAAGUUCUUCUUCUUCCACUUCUCUUCUUCUCCUUCUUCACAAAAAUAAGCUCGAAGAUCAAACACACACAAACAAGGAGCAAAGGGGACGAACUAGGGUUUCUCUGAAGUGAAUGAUAAGUGAAGAGGCCAAAUGGGAGGCUAUAAUGGGGUUUAAAUACGCCUCAACCCCUAAAAUUAGGGUUUGCCACCUGGUCGCGUACGCUGGGCGUACCAUAAGGUACGAUGUGCGUACGCUCAGCCUCCCCGCGUUUCAUUUAAUCAGUAAGCCCAACGUACAAGAGGGGUUACGCCCCGCGGACUGCUUAUGGGCUGCUUACCCUUCGGCCCAAAAAGAGGUCUACUCACAACAACAAUUCAAUUAUAGCCCAAUAAAUAAACUGAAGAAUUAAAUAACUUUAUACCUUGGAAACAAUCGUUACAAUUUUGGGGGUAACUCACUAGGCUUUUGGGCUUACAGUUUCAGUUUAUUGUUUUAGGUUCAGCGGAUGGCCACGGGAAGGCGAUGGUGUGAUCGUACAACUCCUCACAUUUUGUUAUGUUUCUGGGAAUACUCUGAUAAAUAGUAUUUUGAAAACAAUGUUGUAAUGUUUUGAUGAACUUGAUAUGUUUUUGGAAGUUUAAAUUGGUUUGAAAUUUUUGGGUGUUACAAAUAGUCAACCCUUGGUCAAAGUCAAAGUCAACUAUCAAGGUCAACAGUCCAUGUUGACCUCAACUCGUCGAGUACCCUCAGCUACUCGUCGAGUUCCUGCAUGACUUGCCAACUCGCCGAGUCACUUGAGUGACUCGUCGAGUUGCUAGUGUUAGUGGCUGUAACUCCUUGGCCAACUCGUCGAGCUUUCCCCUUACAACUCGUCGCGUUUAUACGUGUCUAAAGGUUGGAAAAACCCUAGCUGGCUCGCUGAGUCACUUAACUGACUCGCCGAGCCCAUGACAACCUUCAUCGGACUCGCCGAGUUAACCUUGCGACUCGCCGAGUCCCUUCAGUCCUUCAUCCAUCAGAGGCUUUUUAAGCCAUGCUAAGGCUCCAAAUUGUAUAUCCAUCUUCCCAAGGCAUGUUUAUAACGUAAAGUUGCAAACUUUACGUGCAUGCAAAGCUCUAAAGUCUUAAAAUGAUAACACCAAGCUUGUAAAGAAGUCUCACACUUGAGGGAAGGCUCACACUUAACAAAGUUGAUAACUUUAUGGAUUUAGAGGCCAAAGGUAGUCCAGAUCUGAAGUUGCAACUUCAGAUCGUGGCUCAAACACAAGAAACAUUUUUCUAAAACCCACCCAAAAGAGAUUAAAGAUGAAAUGAGCCAAGGAAACAGCCUAAUACCUUCAAGAGAGUGCCAACUGAAGUAGAUCUUUGCUUCCCACGAGUUCCUUGCUUCAAUUUACUUGUUUUCCCCAAGUGUUCCCUCACCAAGAUCCCUCUUCCAAGCUUUAACACACCAAGAACACACACACACUCGAUUUAGGGUUUAAGAGUGUCAAGGAGCUGUAAAGGGGAGGCUGGGGGAGGCCAAUGAUCCUUUAAAUAGGGUGUCAUACCCUGAAAUUUAGGGUUUCAUCUGUCAGCUCCUACUUGUCGAGUCCCUUCUUGGACUCGGCGAGUAGGUCGCUAAAACACGUGGACCAACCCGCUGCUACUCGGCGAGUAGGGCAACCAACUCGUCGAGUGGACCUUGAAAUCAAGAAAAUUCUAAUAUAAAAUCGAUACCUGAGAAUCGGGGUGUUACAAUUCUCCCCCACUUGAACUAGACUUCGUCCUCAAAGUCUGCCGCGACGAACAACUCCGGAUAGUGCUCCCGCCUCUCUGCCUCUGGCUCCCACGUCCACUCGGACCCCCUUCCGAUGCUCCCACUGUACCUUCACCAAAGGUAUCUCCUUGUUCCGCAGAACUUUCAUCUUCACCAAAGGUAAUUUAUUAGGGUUAGAGUUUCUCUUAGCGUCUGACAAUUACAAGAGGAUUCUGAGUACUUAAAACUCUUGAAUUUGCUUUCCAUAUUGGAUUCGGUCCGGUUACAGUCAACACUAGAUGAUUGGGGUUGGGAGCUAGACCCCUUUGGAGGUAUCACAAUACGGUCUUCCAGAUUUCAGAUUGAUGUUAGUCUUCUUCCUAUAGGUGCUCGUGUUACGUAGUGGAAUAUGUCGAAUCCAAUAAAGAUUAAUAUCUUUAUUUGGAGGGUUAUGUUAGAUCAUAUUCCUAUGCAGGUGAAUUUAGAUAGAAGAGAUAUUGAUCUUUGUUGUGUCGAGUUUGCGGAGAGGACCCUGAAGAUGUUAAUAACUUAUUCUUCAAGUGUUCGUUAGCCAGAGAGGUGUUGAAUCGGGUGGCUGCUUGGGUGGAUGUCUUUAUUCAUGAGUUUGAUUUUACUGUGUAGAUGGCUCAAAGGAUUCAUGGUCGUUCUUCUACUCAUAUAGAAAACAUGUGAUUUUGGAUUCAGUUUUCUUGACAGUCAUUUGGGUUCUUUGUACAGAUUGGAACACGGCUUUUUCGUCAUCCCAAGUAUUAUGAAGCAUUGCAUUUUUUUAUAACUUUAUUGCUUAUUCUUUUAAUUGGUUUGUUGUUAAAAACGCUAAGGCUGGAAAGAAUUGGAAUAUGUUGAUUCAAUCCAAUUUUGUCUUAAUAUGUACUUUGGUUUUGGCUAGUAUAUAUCUAGCUAGCUUCGGUCUUCAAUAUAUUGGUGCCAUUCCAAAAAUAAAUCACACGUAAGUUGAAAUGUUGGAUUUCAUAUCCUAAUGGUAUAUACUGAAACUUAAAAGUACAUUACUAUGAUGCUUGGGAAUGUAAGUUAAAAUGAAUGGAACAUUGAAAAUAAGUAUUAAAGUUGACGAAAAAUGAGAAAUGUCAACAAUGCCUUUUGUAUAAAGAGGCAAAGUAUAAUGCUAUUAAUUAAUGCAUAAUGUUAAAAUGGCUCACCGUCAGAAAUGGCCACACGACAUGGAGCAACUUGACCACUUCACAUGUGUUGAUCGGUUUAACAAAUGAAAUGUUUUUACCUCAUUUUCUGUCAUAGGCUCUUUUUAGAGCCUAAGAGAGGCAGUAUUAAGGUUUCUUAACCAAUUGGAGCCAAAAAAAUCAUGGGUUCAUCCAUUCUUGAAGACACAAAUCUAUCUUCAAAUUAAUUUGUGUAUUAAAACCGUGAAUCAUAUUUUCAAAAGUAAAUGAGGCACAAUACGAUAUACGUCUAGAUCACUACUAAAAAAAUAGCAUUAGUGGAAGACAAAAUCCGUUAUCGAGUACUACAUUGAACUGAACUCAAACUUGAUAUUGUUCUAACUGAACAUCUUUUCCACUUAGAGGCUCGUAAUCACCGAGAUAACUUUCAAGAUGAUUGGACAGGUCUCCUUUAUCGAUGUUUUCAUGAUGAUACGAUUUGCAAACCAGAUAAAGUAUCGUUUUGAUGACGAGCCCGAAGAGAAAGAAUGUUAAAAGCAGUAGGGAACACAAGAAACCGAAUCCAACCCUCUUCCAUGCCUCCAUGUUCAACGAGCUUCCGUGAACAACGAAUAUUUCAAAUAAGUACUUUACAAGUAUGAAGAACAUAUUCAACAUAAAGAAGAUAAGAAUGGCAACUCCUUGGUUUCCCUUGAUCAGAUCGUUGCUCUUCUUCAUAGCUUUAAACCCAUACGAGCUCUCAAGAACAGAGACCACGCUCGCCAGUUGCCAAAUCACAGUCAUGUACACAAACCCAAUCAAGUAAAUGAUCAAGACGACGAACAGGACGACAACCGCAACGUUAAAAGGAAAGAUCGCCAUAGAGAUGAACAUUACCAGUACUGCGAUGAAGUUGUAAACGAAGAAAGCUGCAAACAUGCAUAAAAAUGUGACCAUGAGUCUUUUCCAGACUUUUGGGACGACGCUCAUUACUUUCUUGAAAGUCAACUCUUGGCCGGUGUAGAUGGAGGCGAUGGUGUAGACGACGGCGGCGGUGGAUAGGAGGGAUAAGAUGAGGAGGAUGGUGAAGUAGGCGAUUUGGAAGAGCAAGAAAGUUAUCCAUUCCGAUGAGAGUGUGUCGGAGAGCUUAUUGUAUGUUCUGGUACCAGGACGUGUAAAGUCUUUUUCGAAUUCUGUAUGUUUGAUGUCUUGAAAGAGUGAAUUUGAGAUCUCGAGGUGACCCAAGAAGAUGAAGGUUAGAGGGAGGAUUAAGGUUAGAGUUAUUUGGGUGAAGAUCUUUCGCCAUGAGUGGAUGAUCUUGAAGCUUUCUUUGAAGAUGCCGAAGAGGCCCAAGAAUUGCAUUUGCUCUUGUUCUCUAUCCAUUUC
rnacentral:lncRNA from 1 species